rnacentral:lncRNA from 1 species
AUAUAUGUACUAAAUGUGAUGACUGUUGGUGGGAAUAUCAUUUUGAUGAUGAUUAUCCAUUACCUUCAAAAGGGAAGAAAAAGACAAAGUCAUGUGAGGAAAGACCCUGUAAACCAGAUCUUGAACCACAGGACCUUGAUACUGACAACUUCAUGUCAAAAAGAAGUGGUUUUGAUGGAUAUCAAAUUCCGUCAUCUUGGAUUCUUAAGGAACCACAGACUCCCAAGCAGAAACUCCAUCCAUACUAUCAGAAGUGUUUGGCUAUCUUGGAAAACGAAGUCAAGAAAGUAUGAAAACCAGUUCAAAAACCCAUUUAAUCCGUACAGCCAUCAAGAUGCCUGUACCAAAAACCUGAGGAAUCACUUCAACAAGUUUUCAUGUUUAAUGAAGAAGAUUUCCCCAAACUAGAACCUUUUAUCAAAAAUGGUUCUAGACAUGUGCCAAUAGUUUAGAAUGCUCAUCCUAUAGUUCUCCCAACAUGAGAAACUGUUAGAUCCAAUCCUACUGAAGAAAUUCUGAAUUGGCAAACUGAAAACUCCUUGGUUCAGAAUACUGGUCUUACUUCCAUCCAUAAGAAUGUGACUGAGGUAAAAGGGAAAAUUGAUCAUAUUGAUACUGCUGUUAAAACUCAAAACUCUCAGGUAUCUCAUAUGAUUGAAGUUCUUGAAAAAAUGCUAGAAAACUUGAAAUAUGAAUUGCCUUCACAUUUUUCAUCUUUAGCUAACUUUGUUUUGAAUCAGGAAAAGAAAACUCGCUUUAUUAAAAAUCAAAUUGAAACUCUCAAAACUACAAGUGAGGUCCCAAAAUUUGAUGUUUGACCAUUUGAACCAACCGCACCCAAGGUAAGUCCAGGAUUUGGUACUACUUCCAUAAAAAAUUGGCCUACUCCUUUUUACUUUGGUGGUGUAGCUACACCAAAUCCUUCUGACUUCCUUCCUAGUCAACAAGAGCAGACUCCUCCUCAUUUUGAUAUUGUUAAAGUAUUACAAGAAUAUCGUAAGAAGAAGCAAAAACAAAAGGAUGAAGAAAGAGAAAGGAAGAAGGUUGAAAAAGAAAGGAAAAGGAAGCUGUUCAAGAACCAGAAAGUUCAUUGAUGUAUACUAAAAUACAUACUAACCCUAUAUUUUCUCUUGAACAGGAAAAGGAAGCAGGAAAGACUAAAAGUCUAUGACAAUCCUUUAUCAUCUAUGCUCCAAGAAUUGCAUGAUGAGUCAGUACCAUACAUUUCUACUUAUGACUAGAUGACACAUAACUCAGAAAAUUCUAAUACAACAGAUUCAGAAUCUGAAUCAAAUGAAAAUCAAAUCUUAGAAUCAUCUGAGAAAGUGACAUCAUCUGAAGAAGAAGAAAUUUCGAUCAUAAAUAUGGCUACUGAAGCUGAAGUUGUACAUCUUGAUGAUGAGGAAGAUGGUGAAGGAGAAACAUCAAAUGCUUCCAGAACUCAAAGGACCACUUUUCCAAAAUCAAAAGGAGUUCAAACUUUUACUAUUGAUGAUAUCCCAUCUGAAAAAUGGGAAGCAAGAUUUCAGGAUUUUCAUGCCUGGAUGACUAUCCAAAAUAUUAUUGAAGAAUCUCAUUUUGAAAUUUUGUCUGACUUUACUGCUCAUUUUUUCAGGAAUUCUUAAAGAUUGGUGGGCAAGCCUUGGUGAUCAAGACAAGAUGUAUUUCUUGACCCGUCAAGACUUUUCUGAAAACAUCAAUAUACUGCACUUGAUGUUCAUAGGAGAUGUAAAGGAGAGCAAGGAGAUAAAGAGAAAAGAAUUCUUUUAAAUGAAAUGUUUCUCUUAUGAUCGUAGAGAUAUUAAUAAACAUUUCAAGAAGAUGACUAAACUAUUUUUUGCUCUUGGUGCAGAUAUUAAUCUUAAACAAACUUUUGUAAGCUCACUUCCAAAAUCUCUUGCUAAGGGAGCUGAAAUGCACAUCCAUAAUAAAUAUGGAUCCAUCUUAAAUUUGUCCACAGGACAAAUUAAGCAGGCAGUUAUCUUAUCUUUGGAUGAUCUUUGCAACAAAAGAAAAGUUAUCAGAGAAUAUCUAAAAGGAGAUGUUUGCUUAGAUCAAUCUUGUAAAAAGUCAGAAUUGAUUACAAAAGGAAAAUGUCAAGCUUGUGCUCCACACAAAAGAAGGAAAAAAUUCAAAAAAUUCAAAAGCUUCAAUAAAAGUUGUCCUAGAAAAACCUUCCGCAAAAGAUGGAAAUAUUUUAUUAGGAAGGAGAAGAAGUUCAGAGAAAGAAAAGGCAACAGAUGUUACAUCCGUGGAAAGCCAGGAUAUUUUGCAAAACAAUGUCCUCAGAAUCAAAAGGAAGUAAAAUUAAUUUCAGAAAUUAAGGAUGAAUUUAAAUUUCAGUUUCUGAUUUAGAAUCUGAAUUUUCUGAGUAAGAAAAUGAAACUGAUCAUACUCUUUUGGCUUUGCAAGUUCCAGAUGAAAUCUUUACUAUUUCCCCCAAUAGUAAAGAAGUACUAGGGAAAACUUAUCCUCAGACCCUUGCUCAUAUUCUUUUGGAUAAGUACUGCAAAUCAAUUCUUGUAAUUGCUUUCUUUCAUUCACAUGCAUCCUUGUCAAUCAUGAAAUAAGACAUUCUACCUGAUGAAUGUUGGAUUCAUGAAAUUCAUUAUUUUAGAGUAGCUAAUGGUGAGCUUUUUCAAACAAAGUUUAUAACCAAAAGACAUUCUAACUGAUGAAUGUUGGAUUCAUGAAAUUCAUUAUUUUAGAGUAGCUAAUGGUGAGCUUUUUCAAACAAAGUUUAUAACCAAAGAUCCUAUCACCAUUAAGUUUCUUCCAGAUUGUCAAGUCAAAGCAAAGUUUUUAGGCGCAAAUUUUACUAGAAAGGAUCUCAUUCUUGGUUUUGAUCUUUACAGAACAAAUCAAUAUCUUGUUACAACUUAUGGAAUUAAGUCCAAAAAGUUUUUUAAAAAUUUCAUAGAAAUCCCAAAGUUGUACGUGAUCCAGGAUGAGGUACUCUCUCUUGAAAAACAACUCAAAGAAUUUCAAGAUCAAAUCAUUAAAGAAUCUUGUGCCUCAAAUCAUCAAGAGUUCUUACAAAAAUGUGACCAUCCAUUGUGGGAAAAUUCUGAUUUUUAUAUCCGAUUUCCUUUUAAAAAGAAUGAGGAUGUAAAUCCCACAAAAGCUAGUCAUUCAGGAAUGAAUCUUGAAGAUUCUAAAAUAGCUGAGCAAGAAUGUGUUGAACUUUUGAAAUUUGGUCUUAUUGAAAGAUCUGAUUCCCAAUGGGCAUGCCAAGGUUUCUAUGUCAACAAAAGAUCUGAACAGGUAAGAGGUAAGAUGAGACUGGUAAUUAAUUAUUUGCCUUUAAACAUCUUUCUUCUGGAUGACAAAUUUUCAAUUCCCAACAGAUUUACAUUAUUUGCCCAAAUUUCAAAAGCAAAAUAGUUUUCAAAGUUUGAUCUUAAAUCUGGAUUUUGACAGUUGGAAAUACAUCCAGAAGAUAGGCAUAAAACUGAUUUUUGCAUUCCAAAUUAUCACUUCCAGUGGAAAGUGAUGCCCUUUAGCCUAAAGACGGCACCUUCACUUUUUUAAAAGGCCAUGAUAAAAAUUUUCCAGCCUAUUCUUCACACUGCACUGGGGUAUAUUGAUGACAUUCUUCUUUUCAGGAACACUUGAGAAGAACACAUCCAAUUGCUUAAUGAUUUUCAUAAUAUUGUUAAGCAAUAUGGUAUCAUGAUUUCUGAGAAGAAAAUGAUUUUGGGAAAACAAGAAAUUCAAUUUCUUGGAAUGAAAAUUUCUGAAGGAAAAUGUACUCCUGAGCAGCAUGUUGGACAAUCAAUUGCAAAUUUUCUUGAAAAAGAUUUGUCAAAAACACAAGUUCAACAGUUUCUUGGAGUUGUUACAAGCCGAUUCAUUCAGUCACUUUAUAGUGCGAUAAAGUACACAGUAAGAUUCAUGGUAACAAGAAUAUGCUGGUCAAGUAAAUGACAAUUUAGCAUAUUCAUCUUAAACGACAAUAUAGCAUUUAAACAAAAUAAGAGCAUGCUUUAUAGUAGUUUUUAACCAUUCAAGAGUAACAAUUAUUAAUUUUACUUGAUCAGAUUUUAACAUGAGACUAGCAUAUCUACUAUUAUGGAUGUAGAUCUAAAACUGUACACUCAAUGUGUAAUAUGCAGGUAGUCAUAUCGUAGUAAUAUGAAUGCAAUAUUUACACAGCAUAAAUUAGCAUGUUCUUGUCUCGAAACUUACCUCUAUUUGGUAUCUCCUUGUCCUUCUUGCUUUCUAGAUGUUGUUGUUUCAUUUCUCCACUUGUUUGCUUGCUCUCCUCACAUUUCUUACAGAAUUGUGUGGAU